AUUGAACGCUGGCGGCAGGCCUAACACAUGCAAGUCGAACGAGUGGCGGACGGGUGAGUAGUGUCUGGUAAACUGCGUGAUGGAGGGGUAUAACUACUGGAAACGGUAGCUAAUACCGCAUACCAUCAGAUGUUCCCAGAUGGGAUUGGCUAGUUGGUGGGGGAACGGCUCACCAAGGCGACGAUACCUAGCUAGUCUGAGAGGAUGACCAGCCACACGGGAACUGAGACACGGUCCAGAAUCCUACGGGAGGCAGCAGUGGGGAAUAUUGCACAAUGGGCGCAAGCCUGAUCCAGCCAUGCCGCGGGUAUGAAGAAGGCCUUCGGGUUGUAAAGUACUUUCAGCGGGGAGGCGUUACCCGCAGAAGAAGUACCGGCUAACUCCGUGCCAGCAGCCGCGGUAAUAC
rnacentral:rRNA from 1 species